AGUAGAAUUGCUAGAUUAUAUGGUAAUUCUAUACUUAACUCUUUGAGGAACCACCAAAUGGUUUUCCACAGCAGUUGUACCACUGUCCAUUCCCACCAGCAAU
rnacentral:pre_miRNA from 1 species